ACCAUUGUUGACUCACUUAGGCUGAUGGCAGCUGCCUCUGCUGGGAAGGAAGCGUUUUUCCCACAACAUAUUAAAUGCGGCACUGGAGGAUGGCUGGCUGGUCCAGGGGCCGGAUCUGGCUCUGUUGCUCACAAUGAUUCUGUUUGGCAAGCGUUUUUAAAAAGCCUUGAAAAGAAGAAAUGCGUGAGGAUUGAAAUUGGCAACCAAUCUUUGAAAGCCUAGUAGACACCCGAUGCCUUCAACAUGUCUUAUAUGACCCUUGCCUCCAGCCUGUAAGGCUGGAGUGCAGUGGUGUGAUCUCAGCUCACUGAAACCUCCGCCUCCCGGAUUCAAGCAAUUCUCUUGCCUCAGCCUCCUGAGUAGCUGGGAUUACAGGUACCCUCUAUCAUGCCCGGGUAAUUUAAA
rnacentral:lncRNA from 1 species